rnacentral:sRNA from 1 species
UAGAAUUUCGGGUAUUUCGCCUCGUGCCA